rnacentral:rRNA from 1 species
CCUACGGGAGGCAGCAGUGAGGAAUAUUGGUCAAUGGAUGAGAGUCUGAACCAGCCAAGUAGCGUGAAGGAUGACUGCCCUAUGGGUUGUAAACUUCUUUUAUAAAGGAAUAAAACGAGGCACGUGUGCCUUUUUGCAUGUACUUUAUGAAUAAGGAUCGGCUAACUCCGUGCCAGCAGCCGCGGUAAUACGGAGGAUCCGAGCGUUAUCCGGAUUUAUUGGGUUUAAAGGGAGCGUAGAUGGGUUGUUAAGUCAGUUGUGAAAGUUUGCGGCUCAACCGUAAAAUUGCAAUUGAUACUGGCAGUCGUGAGUACAGUUGAGGUAGGCGGAAUUCGUGGUGUAGCGGUGAAAUGCUUAGAUAUCACGAAGAACCCCGAUUGCGAAGGCAGCUUACUAAACUGUGACUGACAUUGAUGCUCGAAAGUGUGGGUAUCAAACAGGAUUAGAUACCCGAGUAGUC